AUUGUGCCCGCACUGUGGCAAACACAAGAGGACAUGAAUGGUUGGCGGUGCAGUGUGGUGGAAGUGCAUUGCAGUGGAUCCCAAGGAAACCAGAGGCAAAUUCUGGCUCUGCCACUAGCAAGGCUCUGUGGCUAGGGUACCCCUGUGGAAUUCAGCCUCCUCAUCCGUGAAAUGAAGAAGUGAAACAAAAACAUCUUAAUGUUAUUUCUAACACCUGCUUUCUCUGGAUUCAGCAUCAGAAUAUAUCCAGAUAAGACUGCAAACAACUGAGAGAGCUAAUUCUUUGCUGUUGGGAAUGAGAGUUAGACUACCAUCAAACUCUUCACCCACAACCCUAGAAGCCAGCAGACAGUGGAGGAAUAUCUGCAACCACUAAGAAGAAAGGCUGCCAUCCAGGACUCCUAUUCCCAGGAAAGAUAUCAGUCACUCAUCAAGGGUGAACUCUGAUACUUAGUGUCAAUAAAAACUCUAUGGUGCCCUGGACAUUUCAGAUAACAGAUCAUCCAGCAGAGUCUGUAGGAACCAGGGAUUCCUCACCUACGGCUCAGUGAGACCAAGAAUGUUUAAAAGCCUGCCGUGGUCUCCCCAUCCCUGCAGGGAGCUUCUACUAAACUGUGAGAAACAUCAGAACAAGAACUGAAGAUGUCUUCGGGUUUUUUUGUUACUGUUUGUUUGAGACGGAGUCUCACUCUGUCACCACGCUGGACUGCGGUGGCAACCUCUCAGCUCGCUGCAACCUCCACCUCCCGAGUUCAAGCGAUUCUCCUGCCUCAGCCUCCCGAGUAGCUGGGGCUACAGGUGCAUGCCAUCAUGCCCAGCUAAUUUCUGUAUUUUUAGUAGAGACGGGGUUUCACCAUGUUGGCCAGGAUAGUCUCGAUCUCUUGACCUUGUGAUCUGCCCGCCUCAGCCUAAAGAUGCCUUCUUUGCAAGUAUGUUUGCAAUGCUCCACAACUAUUUAUUGAAUGAACAAGUGUUUGAAGAAUCCUUGACUUUUGGAGGAACCAUAUGACCUUGGGAAUGCUCACCAAUGACAAUUUUUCACUCUGAAUCAUAAUGUGAGAGCAGAAAAUUAUCAAAACAUGUUUGUAUUUCACAUUGAAAUUAAUUGAAUAAAUAUAUAAUUCAUCAUCCUG
rnacentral:lncRNA from 1 species